UCCGGUUCGGAAUAACUCAGGGAAACUUGAGCUAAUACCGGAUACGGUCGAGAGGCGAAAGAUUUAUCGCCGGAGGAUUGGCCCGCGUCCGAUUAGCUAGUUGGUGUGGUAAUGGCGCACCAAGGCGACGAUCGGUAGCUGGUCUGAGAGGAUGAUCAGCCACAUUGGGACUGAGACACGGCCCAAACUCCUACGGGAGGCAGCAGUGGGGAAUAUUGGACAAUGGGCGCAAGCCUGAUCCAGCCAUGCCGCGUGAGUGAUGACGGCCUUAGGGUUGUAAAGCUCUUUCGCCCACGACGAUAAUGACGGUAGUGGGAGAAGAAGCCCCGGCUAACUUCGUGCCAGCAGCCGCGGUAAUACGAAGGGGGCUAGCGUUGUCCGGAAUUACUGGGCGUAAAGCGCGUGUAGGCGGGUCCUUAAGUCAGGGGUGAAAUGCCAAGGCUCAACCUUGGAACUGCCUUUGAUACUGGGGAUCUUGAGUCCGGGAGAGGUGAGUGGAACUGCGAGUGUAGAGGUGAAAUUCGUAGAUAUUCGCAAGAACACCAGUGGCGAAGGCGGCUCACUGGCCCGGAACUGACGCUGAGACGCGAAAGCGUGGGGAGCAAACAGGAUUAGAUACCCUGGUAGUCCACGCUGUAAACGAUGGAUGCUAGCCGUUGGGGAGCUUGCUCUUCAGUGGCGCAGCUAACGCCUUAAGCU
rnacentral:rRNA from 1 species